rnacentral:tRNA from 1 species
GGCUCAGUGGUUCAAUGGUAAAGUGCUCGUCGCGGAGCCAGAGGGUCCUUGGUUCGAUCUCCAACGGGGUCG